rnacentral:rRNA from 1 species
GAUGAACGCUGGCGGCGUGCUUAACACAUGCAAGUCGAACGGCAAGGCCCAAGCUUGUUUGGGCACUCUAGUGGCGAACGGGUGAGUAACACGUGGGUCAUCUGCCCUGCACUUCGGGAGAAGACCGGGAAACUGGGUCUAAUAAUGGCUAGGACCACCUACUGGUUGGAGCGGUGGAUAGUCGUUCGGUGUGGGGUGAGCUGGGGGGUUAUCAGCUUGUUGGUGGGGUAAUGGCAUACCACGGCGUAGGAGGGUAGCCGGCCUGAGAGGGGGGACAGCCACAUUGGGACUGAGAGACGGACCAGACGGCUACGGGGGGCAGCGGUGGGAAAUAUGACACAGUGGGGGCAAGCCUGAGGCAGCGGCGCCGGGUGGGGGAAGACGGCCUGCGGGUUGUGAACAGCUUUCGCUUGAGACGAAGCGGUAGUGACGGUACCUAGAGAAGAAGCACCGGCUAACUACGUG